rnacentral:rRNA from 1 species
UACGUAGGGGGCAAGCGUUGUCCGGAAUCAUUGGGCGUAAAGGGCUCGUAGGCGGCCAACUAAGUCAGACGUGAAAUCCCUCGGCUUAACCGGGGAACUGCGUCUGAUACUGGAUGGCUUGAGUGUGGGAGAGGGAUGCGGAAUUCCAGGUGUAGCGGUGAAAUGCGUAGAUAUCUGGAGGAACACCGGUGGCGAAGGCGGCAUCCUGGACCACGACUGACGCUGAGUGAGCGAAAGCCAGGGGAGCAAACGGG